rnacentral:rRNA from 1 species
GACGAACGCUGGCGGCGUGCUUAACACAUGCAAGUCGAACGGUAAGGCCCUUUCGGGGGUACACGAGUGGCGAACGGGUGAGUAACACGUGGGUGAUCUGCCCUGCACUUUGGGAUAAGCCUGGGAAACUGGGUCUAAUACCGGAUAGGACUACGCGAUGCAUGUCGUGUGGUGGAAAGCUUUUGCGGUGUGGGAUGGGCCCGCGGCCUAUCAGCUUGUUGGUGGGGUGAUGGCCUACCAAGGCGACGACGGGUAGCCGGCCUGAGAGGGUGUCCGGCCACACUGGGACUGAGAUACGUCCCAGACUCCUACGGGAGGCAGCAGUGGGGAAUAUUGCACAAUGGGCGCAAGCCUGAUGCAGCGACGCCGCGUGGGGGAUGACGGCCUUCGGGUUGUAAACCCCUUUCAGCACAGACGAAGCGUAAGUGACGGUAUGUGCAGAAGAAGCACCGGCCAACUACGUG